rnacentral:rRNA from 1 species
ACAGCAGUAGCCACGGGAAUACAGAGGGUGCGAGCGUUAAUCGGAUUUACUGGGCGUAAAGCGUGCGUAGGCGGCUUUUUAAGUCGGAUGUGAAAUCCCUGAGCUUAACUUAGGAAUUGCAUUCGAUACUGGGAAGCUAGAGUAUGGGAGAGGAUGGUAGAAUUCCAGGUGUAGCGGUGAAAUGCGUAGAGAUCUGGAGGAAUACCGAUGGCGAAGGCAGCCAUCUGGCCUAAUACUGACGCUGAGGUACGAAAGCAUGGGGAGCAAACAGGAUUAGAUACCCCGGUAGUCCCUGUCUCUUAUAA